CAAUCCAUCGGCAGCUUCACGUGGCUGUGGCGCAGACCUCGGCGCGGGAAAUGCUAAAAAUGCCGACUCGGCGAACUGUGCCGCCCGAGCCCGCUGACCGGCCCAAACGCUUCUAUGAAUGUCUCGACAUUGAUUGGUGAUGGGUUGGAGGCCGGGCGCGCAGCUCGGCGCGAGGCAGUUUCUGGAAAUUUACCGAGCACCGUUCCCAAACUCGCUCUCCCGGCCGCCCGGCG
rnacentral:lncRNA from 1 species